rnacentral:misc_RNA from 1 species
CUCCGCCUCUGUAAAGAAGCCAGUUGGUCCAAUCACGGAAGUCUUCUACCGUCUUCUGCCAUUCAAAUCCUGCUGGGUUAAACAAAUAUGGAGCAAAAAGCCAAGAAAUAGCCAGAAACCAACUGCUAACAGUGAGAAGUAUGUAGGAUAAGGCACCACCCUCGUUGUAGCCGUAAGCAGCAUAUACCACCAACAAAAGCACAAUUUCCAUGCCCUUAACGAAAUGACUGCGGGAGUAGAGCCUAUAAUUCUCUGUAAACUUGAUGUGUUUAACGACGAAUCCCCUACCGGUUGCAUGAUACUUUGCACCACCAUGUAGGAUGGUUCGACCAAAGUAAUGUGUCCUAGUGCCAAGGGAGAACGUGAAGAAGACAGUGCAAAGCUGAAACUGCAUAGUGACAAAACCAACAACAGCCCUUAGGAAACCUUGUUCCAAAAUGAAACCCAGAAUCAUAGGAACCGCUGUGAAAACACCAAUCUGAAAAAGGAAUUGUGCAUUGAGAGCAGCACUAAGAGCAGUAUUCUGUAAUAUAUUAGCUCUAUCUUGAAUGGUUGCACCAACGCCAGAUAAUGCCAGAUAUGCCUUGCCAUAGAGAAAAGCAUAAACACUAAGAACUGUCAACAUUGUGCAGAAGUAAUAUCCAACAGUUGUAAAGUAGAACGAUAACAUUCUGAAGAAAUCAAAGAGCUGGCCAAGCCUGUAAACGUCUCUGCUUAGAACUUGUUCACCAUUACCACCAGCAACUUUGCCUUCAAACAACGCAAUCUGAUUGAGUCCAACAUCUCGUCCCUUACCAACCUGGAUGUACUCAUGGUGAGUAAUAUUUCCCUGCCGUAGCGUUGAAUUAAACCCUGCAAAGAUGUCUUCACUGAUAUUAAUCACACGUGAGGCUUUGCUGAUACCACCUCGAGUAAUAUGGAAAAUUCUGUCAAAGACGUCUGGAUGUCCAUAGUGCAUACGAACUUUCAAAGGAUUUGCCAGAACACGUUGGCCCAUGGUCACAAAGCUAGCUUCUUGGUUAGACAUGAAGGACGCCAAUGAAGAAACACUGCCAGUGAACACAUGCUCCCUAACACCGAGAAUUGUAGGAAGAUGAACGCCAUAAUCUUGGAAGAACUCCUCAAGAAGAUUUCUCACCUUCAGAGCCUCUUCAAAAUAAUUAUCCUGGUUCAUGUCAAUUGUUUGCACUGCAUUUCCACGCGUAAAGACAAUGGCAUGAUUUUGAUUUUCAGG